rnacentral:tRNA from 1 species
AAAACUUUAAAAAGUAGCUUCUAACUACUAAUCAGUGUUUAACUACACUAAAGUUUUA